UACGUAGGGGGCUAGCGUUGUCCGGAAUCAUUGGGCGUAAAGCGCGUGUAGGCGGUCUGGUAAGUCUGCUGUGAAAGUCUAGGGCUCAACCCUGGAAAGCCGGUGGAUACUGUCAGACUAGAGUGCGGAAGAGGCGAGUGGAAUUCCUGGUGUAGCGGUGAAAUGCGCAGAUAUCAGGAGGAACACCAAUUGCGAAGGCAGCUCGCUGGGACGUUACUGACGCUGAGACGCGAAAGCGUGGGGAGCGAACAGG
rnacentral:rRNA from 1 species